rnacentral:rRNA from 1 species
UACGAAGGGGGCUAGCGUUAAUCGGAAUUACUGGGCGUAAAGCGUGCGCAGGCGGUAAUGUAAGACAGAUGUGAAAUCCCCGGGCUUAACCUGGGACCUGCAUUUGUGACUGCAUUGCUGGAGUGCGGCAGAGGGGGAUGGAAUUCCGCGUGUAGCAGUGAAAUGCGUAGAUAUGCGGAGGAACACCGAUGGCGAAGGCAAUCCCCUGGGCCUGCACUGACGCUCAUGCACGAAAGCGUGGGGAGCAAACAGG